rnacentral:rRNA from 1 species
GACGUAGGGAGCGAGCGUUGUCCGGAUUCAUUGGGCGUAAAGAGCGCGUAGGCGGCCGUGCAAGUCGGUUGUGAAAUCCCGGGGCUCAACCCCGGGACUGCGUCCGAUACUGCACGGCUCGAGGCAGGUAGGGGAGAGUGGAAUUCCCGGUGUAGCGGUGAAAUGCGCAGAUAUCGGGAGGAACACCGGUGGCGAAGGCGGCAUCCUGGACUGGUCCUGACACUCAUGAGCGAAAGCGUGGGGAGCGAUCCGG